UCCCCUUGCACUGUUCCCUCCCCCAGUUUCUUUCCCUCCACCGCCCACUCCAGAAAGGAGCCUGAGGAGGAGGUGACUGUUCCACGCCAUUGAGGCAACCAUGAGAGAUAAAUAUUCCCCAACAUGUAUCUGCUCUUCAGAUGAGCAUAGUUGACAGCAGUACUGCAGCACAAAGGUGACACUCCUGAACGUCUGUGGCAAGACCAGCUCUGCUCUAAUGGUGACUCUUGAGACUUGCUGUGAAAUGGAGAAGGCUGCAAGAGCUACUUGUAAAAAAGCUUCAAGAUAUCAAUUAACAUGA
rnacentral:lncRNA from 1 species